AGCGAACGCUGGCGGCAGGCUUAACACAUGCAAGUCGAGCGGGCACUUUCGGGUGUCAGCGGCGGACGGGUGAGUAACGCGUGGGAACGUGCCCUCUGGUUCGGAAUAACUCAGGGAAACUUGAGCUAAUACCGGAUACGCCCUUUUGGGGAAAGGCUUGCUGCCGGAGGAUCGGCCCGCGUCUGAUUAGCUAGUUGGUGAGGUAACGGCUCACCAAGGCGACGAUCAGUAGCUGGUCUGAGAGGAUGAUCAGCCACACUGGGACUGAGACACGGCCCAGACCCCGCCGGGAGGAGGAGGGGGGGAAUAGGGAAAAAGGGGGGAAGGCGGGACCCAGCCUGGCGGGGGGAGGAAGAAGGCGGUUGGGGUGGAAAAUUUUUUUUACCGGGAAGAAAAAGGAGGGAACGGGAGAAAAAACCCCCGGAAAACUCCGGC
rnacentral:rRNA from 1 species